GACGAACGCUGGCGGCGUGCCUAAUACAUGCAAGUCGAGCGAAGCGGCGGAUGGGUGAGUAACGCGUGGGUAAGCUGACAUUAAGUUGGGGAUACCAUUUGGAAACAGAUGCUAAUAGCGGAUACUAAAGGAUGGAUCUGCGAUGCAUUAGCUAGUUGGUAAGGUAACGGCUUAACAAGGCGAUUAGGCAUAGCCGAGUUGCGAGACUGAUCGGCCACAUUGGGACUGAGACACGGCCCAAACGCCUACGGGAGGCAGCAGUAGGGAAUCUUCCACAAUGGACGAAAGUCUGAUGGAGCAACGCCGCGUGAGUGAAGAAGGUUUUCGGAUCUUAAAGCUCUGUUGUUGGUGAAGCGGUAAUCAACCAGAAAGUCACGGCUAACUACGUGCCAGCAGCCGCGGUAAUAC
rnacentral:rRNA from 1 species